CAGGAGCGUGGGAAGACUCCAGAAUCCACUCUGGCUGGAAUCCGGUGGAUACAGCAGUGUUACAGAACAGUUCUCCACAGUCACUGUCCACAUGGGUCAGUGGGACCAAGCAGCACUCUGCUAAUGUGUGGACUCUGACCAGCAACAUCCAGCAAGACCCAAGCAGCGUUUUCUAUCUCCCAGCUGGAGCUUUUUGUUUGUCUGUGACUGGAGAGUCAGAUUUUUGUUGAAGCUGGAGGAACAGAGAGGUUAAUACACACUACUGAGCAAAGAAGCCUGGUGGA